CCUGGGCAGCUCCCAUCUCCAGAGGCACUGCUGUGCUUUCCAGAAUGAGUGGCUGGCACCUGAGCCACAUGCCCAAGGAGGGAGCCAGCGCCAUCUGCUUCUCCUUUUCCUGUCGCAAGCACCUGGAGCUGCACAGCCCUGGAAUCACGUCUGUAACUCUGCAAUUCAACCCCAAGGAUAACAAGCUUAGAGGAUAAAUUCUCCCCUGCCAGAAUUUGUUUCUCUGCUGCCAGCCACCUCAGCAUUUAGCAAAACCCCAUUCUUUGCUCAGUUCCAGGCUGCUUGAAGCAAAGGCAGGUUCAGACCACCCUCCUCAAGUUUUGGAAUCAGUCCCACUAGCUUUUCUCCUGCAGCCUGCUGUGUUUGUUCCCAACCCCCUCACCUCAGCUUGUAGCUGGCAGGGGCAGUGCUGGGGCAGGAUGGCAGAGCUCACAUUCACCUGAGACCCAUGGUGUGGGAAAAACCAGCUGGGUGCAUCAGCAUCAAGGACAUUUCAUCUCAGCAGCCGUUGCAGUGUAUCUGAAGAGGCUGUUCCCUGGCCCUGCUGAAGUGGAGGUCAGGUCUUUCUUGUGGUCCCCUGUAGGUACUGAAAGCUGCCCCAGGAGCUGCUCGGAAGGUUUUAGGUGUGUGACAAGAAGGGAUGCUAAGGUAGCCUCGGGGCCCUGGUUUUGGCAGCAGAGCUUUGCAAUGUCCCUCUAA
rnacentral:lncRNA from 1 species